rnacentral:rRNA from 1 species
CGCGGCCUAUCAGCUUGUUGGUGAGGUAACGGCUCACCAAGGCGACGACGGGUAGCCGGCCUGAGAGGGUGACCGGCCACACUGGGACUGAGACACGGCCCAGACUCCUACGGGAGGCAGCAGUGGGGAAUAUUGCACAAUGGGCGCAAGCCUGAUGCAGCAACGCCGCGUGAGGGAUGACGGCCUUCGGGUUGUAAACCUCUUUUAGCAGGGAAGAAGCGAAAGCGACGGUACCUGCAGAAAAAGCACCGGCUAACUACGUGCCAGCAGCCGCGGUAAUACGUAGGGUGCAAGCGUUGUCCGGAAUUAUUGGGCGUAAAGAGCUCGUAGGCGGUUUGUCACGUCUGCUGUGAAAAUCCAAGGCUCAACCUUGGACUUGCAGUGGGUACGGGCAGGCUAGAGUGCGGUAGGGGAGAUGGGAAUUCCUGGUGUAGCGGUGGAAUGCGCAGAUAUCAGGAGGAACACCAAUGGCGAAGGCACAUCUCUGGGCCGUAACUGACGCUGAGGAGCGAAAGCGUGGGGAGCGAACAGGAUUAGAUACCCUGGUAGUCCACGCCGUAAACGGUGGGUGCUAGCUGUGGGCCACAUUCCACGUGGUCCGUGACGAAGUUAACACAUUAAGCACCCCGCCUGGGGAGUACGG